rnacentral:rRNA from 1 species
AUUGAACGCUGGCGGCAGGCCUAACACAUGCAAGUCGAGCGGAGCGGCGGACGGGUGAGUAAUGCCUAGGAAUCUGCCUGGGAGUGGGGGAUAACGUCCGGAAACGGGCGCUAAUACCGCCAAUUAUCUACUGAGCCUAGUUCGGAUUGGCUAGGUGGUGGGGUAAAGGCUUACCAAGGCGACGAACCGUAACUGGUCUGAGAGGAUGAACAGUCACACUGGAACUGAGACACGGUCCAGACUCCUACGGGAGGCAGCAGUGGGGAAUAUUGGACAAUGGGCGAAAGCCUGAUGCAGCCAUGCCGCGGGUGUGAAGAAGGUCUUCGGAUUGUAAAGCACUUUAAGUUGGGAGGCGUUACCAACAGAAUAAGCACCGGCUAACUUCGUGCCAGCAGCCGCGGUAAUUC